CUGCGGAGCCUCACGCUCCGGCCCGGGCCCGGCUGCCAACGAUGGCCCUGCGCCACCCGCUCGCGCCCUGCGUCCCCGCCGCGGCAGCUACCGGUCGCCGGGGUCCCGGGCCCAGACCCGCGUUCCCUCGCCUCCCGGGCGGGCGGGCGAGCUCUGCAGAGCAGCGGCGGUGGUGGCGGCGGCUCAUUACCAUAGACCUGCUCGCGCCGCCGCGGUCUUAAAGCGGCGACGCCCAACGCGCCGAGGAGGUGGGCCCCACCCAGCGCCCUCUUCUGCAUGGCGGCUCUAAAUCAAUGUCCAACUGCUGUCCUCCUCCUACCCGCGGCUUUGUAACUAGCAAAUGGCCCUGUCCAUUGCACAGGACUACUGAGCCCUUCAUGGAAUGCCACCCCAGAACCUUCUGGAAGGGGUAUGAAGAACUGAUGAAUCUUCCCAUAAGUGGAGUUCACACAAGAUGUUGGGACCAAAGAACCGGGAAGAGUGAGGCUGGGCAAGCCAGAGGGCUUCUUCCUCUCAUACCCUGAGCAAUGAGGGAUGUCAGAUUGUAUGAGAGAGGAGGCCACUCUCACAUGCUAGCUAUGUGCGACCUUUCCUAGAGUGAGGGACUUGAAUAAAGUAAUGGAUUUUCAGAAGUCUCGAGGGAGGUGAUGAUAUGGUCUGAGGAGAUAGCUGAGUGGGUAGAGAGACCCCACCGAGC
rnacentral:lncRNA from 1 species